UAGAUUGCUUACACGUUGUCUUCCACAAAAUAUGAGCUAUAUGACCUGUAAGACAUUUUCUCAAGAAACGCUGAAGGAUUGGUUUCCCCUGGACGAGGUCAAUUCUGACGAUCGGAAAAUGUUCAGAUGACUUCGUGGGGCACACUAUCAACUCGAGUUGUUGGAACGUCUUCCUUUCUAACCAAUACAUGCUAAGGUGCUUUGCUGCUAAAAGCAUUGGAACAGCAGAAAGUUAGAAAGCUGGAUAAGACAUUGCAGAAGGUUCACAGUGGCGAACGAUUCCAUUUCCUGUGAUGGUGGCCAAACGGAAGCUGGUCACCAGACGAAUCGUACCCUUCUCCUACCGUCUGGCGGCUUUUCUACUGCUCCUCAUGUUGUUUUAUGUGCUUUUUUUUUGAAGCGCACCCAGGAAAACAGACGUAUCAAGCAGCCACCCAGUCGUCUGGCAGCCAGUCAGGAAACAGAUGGCCAACGCAUCGAAAGUACCAGUGGCGUCGGGCAGCUCUAUAAGGUAUUCAAUAGAGACCAAACUUAGAUCGGGCAAGUCUAGCCUUCUGACAUUAUGAACUAUUCCAGAACGACACACGCUAUUUUUCUUCACCACUUUUUUUCGUGUCAGUCGGUUUCUCGUCUUGUUGCUAAAUCGCCUCACUACCACUGCUGUCCCCCUAUCUUACAGGCCCACACUAUUCUGGUCCUCGGCCAUCCCCGGAUAUCCUGCGUAGUUACGUGCUGUCCAGCUACAUUAUGGCUUUCCUACGCCUCUUACGAUUUCUUUGUGUUAUGUAUGAUGAAUGAGGAUCGUCGAACUACGGAAGUGCAGGGAUCGCAAACGACGAGACGGAUCACGCGUCCAUUGCAAGUGUUAUGUUUUACAGUCAAAAGAAUGACGACCGCGAUUAAUGGACAAUCGUUUUUGUCUCAAACUGCACCCGGAAAUUAUCACAAUAGUACGACCCGUGUCCGGGGUCGUUGGUGCUCUACGCCUGUGAAAGUGCCACGGUUCUACUCUAUUGCAAACGUUUUAUAAAAAUAUCACCGAACCAGCAAAACCGA